rnacentral:tRNA from 1 species
CAGAAAAUAGUUUCAAUCAAAACAUUAACUUUGGGAGUUAAAGAUCGGGUUUCUCCUGUUUUCUGA